UUUUACAGUUGUUAUCACAUCGUUCAAAAUUUGAAAUCCCUGAAAACAUAUCCUACUUCAAUCUUUCCUUCCUCUCUCCCCAUAAGAAGCCCUAACACGCAUCCACCUUGUCAUUUUAUACUGCCAUAUACAGAGAGGUGUUGAAGAUCGGAAAAUCUCUACACACACUCACCACUCUCGCUCAAUACAGGUUGAAAUCUCUGUACCCUUGAAGGUUUAAUCGUUUAAGCUACCACUCCCCGUGCCAUCACCAUCAACAACCACACAUCGCACCAUGCCAUCAGGAACCACUCUUCUGUUUUUUUUGUUUUCUAUUUUUGAAAAUCCAGUUACGCCUCCUCCUAACUCGAAAUCGAGUUUCAGUUGAUGGAGGUUUGCUCCUAUUUUUUUCCCUUUCUACUAUGGUGGUAGAGUCUUAGUCCCAAUAAUACGAUGUUGGAGUUCAGUUAUAUUCCAGUGAAAAAAAUUUACAGGAAGGGAGCCAAUCGCAAACCCUAGGCGAUUUCAUUUCUUCAAACAAAUAUGUUUAUGAAAUAUCUUUAAUUUCAUGUUUUAUUAUGUUGAAUUUCGUUUGUUUAGUUAACCAUGGAUAUUGUCAAAAAAAAUUCAGAGGAUAUGGCCGAGAUCUUGAUUUAUCUAUCUUUUGAUGUUUUUGUUAAUUUUAAUUUUAAUUUGCUAUAUAUUGUUCAUUCUUCAAAUUAUAAGGAUAGUUUUUUUUUUUGUUGUUACAGGAAAAUGAAUUUCACCGGCUGCUCCAAGUUUCAAAAACUAAGUCUAAUCACUUGCUGUCUUCUUAAUUUCCAUAAUAUGAAAAUUUUACCCAAUUAUGGUAUAGUAAUUUCAUAUUAUUUCUAUAAGCCAAUCUGUAAAGUUUUUUCUUAUUAUGUACUUUGAGAAGUUUGAAAUUACAACUUCUAGAGCAUGCUAUAUUUGUCUAAUAUUAUCCAUUUUGGUGUCAUUGUUGAUUGUAGGUAAAGUGGAUUUGUGUUGGCUUUGUUGGAAAUUGUGCAUACGUUUUUUUACUUUUGCUGAUUUUGUGAUGUAGGCCUUGCCGAAUUAGCAAAUUGCUGAUUACCCGAAUUAGCAAACUGCUAAUUACCCACCAAAAUUGGUUCCAGAACUGUUUGCAGCAAUAAUUUUGUUUUGGAUUCAGGUACUAUAAUUUUGUUUUAUUUAGUUCUAAAUUAUAAAUAAUAAAAUGAAUAACUUUUGAUUCUCAAGUCCGUUUUAACCAUUGUAAUCAUUGCAUUUAUUUAAUCUAUUAUUUAGUUAUCAUAGUUUUAGGUCACAUGUAUGUAGGUUUAUUUUUUAUUGCUAUAAAGCACAAAGAAAUGAUAGUAGGAUGCUAUAAAGCACAAAGAAAUGGAAGUAUGUUGCUUUAUUUUUUAUUUUUUUGGGCUAUUAGCUGCCAAAAGGCCAAAUUUGUUUAAUGUCAAAAGGCCAAAGUUUUGUUUUAUUUUGUCAAACUAAUGGAUUUUGUUCUUCCUGUAUCUAGGUUGGAGAUAACUUUAGUAAAUUUGGGGUUUUGCAUUUUUUUUGCUACCUAAUUCUAAUGCUACCAUUUACUUUUAUGUGUUUUGUAAUGAAAUACUCUUAUACUUUGAAUAAGAUGGGAGUUAGUUACUUACAUAUUUUCUUUCUUGCAAGCGUGUACUGAUGCAAAAUAUGUAUGAAGAUACCACGAUUUUAAAACUCAAAAAUACUAAAAUUUCUAUUUAUAUAGACAUAGAAAUUAAUCAUAAAAAGGUUAUUUUAUGAUUCAAAUAUAAAUGAGCAAUGAUAGUACCCAUUAAAAAUGAUGAUUUUGCUUUCAUGUUUUUGUCAUUUCCGUGUAAGUACGAGUGUUUGAUACUUUCUUUGGAUAUAUUGUAAAAAAUAUAUUAAUUUGUUUUAACAC
rnacentral:lncRNA from 1 species